GAUGAACGCUGGCGGCGUGCCUAAUACAUGCAAGUCGAGCGAACAGACGAGGAGCUUGCUCCUCUGACGUUAGCGGCGGACGGGUGAGUAACACGUGGAUAACCUACCUAUAAGACUGGGAUAACUUCGGGAAGCCGGCGCUAAUACCGGAAAAUAUAUUGAACCGUAAGGUUCAAUAGUGAAAUACGGUUUUGCUGUCACUUAUAGAUGGAUCCGCGCCGCAUUAGCUAGUUGGUGAGGUAACGGCUUACCAAGGCAACGAUGCGUAGCCGACCUGAGAGGGUGAUCGGCCCCACUGGAACUGAGACACGGUCCAGACUCCUACGGGAGGCAGCGGUAGGGAAUCUUCCGCAAUGGGCGAAAGCCUGACGGAGCAAGGCCGCGUGAGUGAUGAAGGUCUUCGGAUCGUAAACCUCUGUUAUUAGGGAAGAACAAAUGUGUAAGUAACUAUGCACGUCUUGACGGUACCUUAUCAGAAAGCCACGGCUAACUACGUG
rnacentral:rRNA from 1 species